GAAUGCUGACAUAAGUAACGAUAAAGCGGGUGAAAAGCCCGCUCGCCGGAAGACCAAGGGUUCCUGUCCAACGUUAAUCGGGGCAGGGUGAGUCGACCCCUAAGGCGAGGCCGAAAGGCGUAGUCGAUGGGAAACGGGUUAAUAUUCCCGUACUUGGUGUUACUGCGAAGGGGGGACGGAGAAGGCUAUGUUGGCCGGGCGACGGUUGUCCCGGUUUAAGCGUGUAGGUGUGUGUUCCAGGUAAAUCCGGUUCACUUUAACACUGAGGCGUGAUGACGAGGCACUACGGUGCUGAAGCAACAAAUGCCCUGCUUCCAGGAAAAGCCUCUAAGCAUCAGGUAACACGAAAUCGUACCCCAAACCGACACAGGUGGUCAGGUAGAGAAUACCAAGGCGCUUGAGAGAACUCGGGUGAAGGAACUAGGCAAAAUGGUGCCGUAACUUCGGGAGAAGGCACGCUGACACGUAGGUGAAGUGAUUUACUCAUGGAGCUGAAGUCAGUCGAAGAUACCAGCUGGCUGCAACUGUUUAUUAAAAACACAGCACUGUGCAAACACGAAAGUGGACGUAUACGGUGUGACGCCUGCCCGGUGCCGGAAGGUUAAUUGAUGGGGUCAGCGCAAGCGAAGCUCCUGAUCGAAGCCCCGGUAAACGGCGGCCGUAACUAUAACGGUCCUAAGGUAGCGAAAUUCCUUGUCGGGUAAGUUCCGACCUGCACGAAUGGCGUAAUGAUGGCCAGGCUGUCUCCACCCGAGACUCAGUGAAAUUGAACUCGCUGUGAAGAUGCAGUGUACCCGCGGCAAGACGGAAAGACCCCGUGAACCUUUACUAUAGCUUGACACUGAACAUUGAGCCUUGAUGUGUAGGAUAGGUGGGAGGCUUUGAAGUGUGGACGCCAGUCUGCAUGGAGCCGACCUUGAAAUACCACCCUUUAAUGUUUGAUGUUCUAACGUGGACCCGUAAUCCGGGUUGCGGACAGUGUCUGGUGGGUAGUUUGACUGGGGCGGUCUCCUCCUAAAGAGUAACGGAGGAGCACGAAGGUUGGCUAAUCCUGGUCGGACAUCAGGAGGUUAGUGCAAUGGCAUAAGCCAGCUUGACUGCGAGCGUGACGGCGCGAGCAGGUGCGAAAGCAGGUCAUAGUGAUCCGGUGGUUCUGAAUGGAAGGGCCAUCGCUCAACGGAUAAAAGGUACUCCGGGGAUAACAGGCUGAUACCGCCCAAGAGUUCAUAUCGACGGCGGUGUUUGGCACCUCGAUGUCGGCUCAUCACAUCCUGGGGCUGAAGUAGGUCCCAAGGGUAUGGCUGUUCGCCAUUUAAAGUGGUACGCGAGCUGGGUUUAGAACGUCGUGAGACAGUUCGGUCCCUA
rnacentral:rRNA from 3 species